CGAAAGCCUGACGGAGCAAUACCGCGUGAGGGAUGACUGCCUAUGGGUUGUAAACCUCUUUUUUCAGGGGGGAACACAAUGACGUGUACCUGAAGAAUAAGCAUCGGCUAACUCCGUGCCAGCAGCCGCGGUAAGACGGAGGAUGCAAGUGUUAUCCGGAAUCACUGGGCGUAAAGCGUCUGUAGGUGGUUUAAUAAGUCAACCGUUAAAUCUUGAGGCUUAACCUCAAAAUCGCAGUCGAAACUAUUAGACUAGAGUAUAGUAGGGGUAAAGGGAAUUUACAGUGGAGCGGUGAAAUGCGUAGAUAUUGGAAAGAACACCGAUGGCGAAGGCACUUUACUGGGCUAUUACUGACACUCAGAGACGAAAGCUAGGGUAGCAAAUG
rnacentral:rRNA from 1 species